ensembl:lncRNA
CUAACAGUUCGUUUUGUACAGUGUCCUUUUGAAGAUGGGCUGAGCAUCAUAGUGCCUCUGAAGUCUCGAAUCUCCCUCACACAGUCUCGAAAAUGCAUCUGAAUAUUCCAGGAUUCAGGGAGUCCACAGACUUGUCUUUCCCCACAGUGCGGUUUCACAUUUUCCACACAUGUUAUGAUCCGAUUCAGAACGUACCUGUUUUCCUCCACCUGUUUUCCUCCACCUGUUUGUUAUGCUGCUCAAUGGAGCGCCUGUAUGCACUGUCAACUUGGGCUGCCACAUUCACCCUUCCAAAUAGUUUGUGGCCCUUCUGAGUUGAAAAGGUUGCCUACAGUGUCCUUAGUCCCCUUGGGUAAGGAAGUCAAUGUGAGCCAACACGUUGGAGGAAACGCUCAAUCACAUUGUCUUAUCCCAAGCUAGAGAAGCCCGCCCCGCCAAAGACGUUGCUGGAACGGAGGAGCACAAGGAAAUCCCCUAUGCUGAUUAUCUCCCCCCUGCCCUUGGACGACACCAGCCCAAAUGCGCACCAUCCUAC